GGUAGACUUAACCCCAUAAAAUGGCACAUUGAUGUUUUUAUGCUAAGACGUUUGUAGGGAUUCCUAUGGAAACAAACGAGAUAUGACUUUUUAAUUAGUGAGUUUUAGAGGUGCUGGACUUUGAAGUUUCCAGGAAAUAACCAUGUAAUUUAGCACUAAUCAUACUGCAGGAUUCUUUCACCUCUUCAGACCUCAGACUAAAGAAUUGUUAAAGUAAGUAUACUGGAUAGUCUCACCUCUUUGAGCCUUUAAAAAUCAUUCAAAUGCGACCAAUCCAUAAAGAAAAAAUCCCUAUUUUUAACCCAUGACCACGAUGAGGCCAUAAACUGUGAUGAAAGGUCAGUAGACAUUGUUUUAUUUUAAAGGAGGGUCACAAGAACAAAAGAUUGGGAACCACCACUUAUGUUAAAAGUAUAAUCAGUGCACAGCAGGUCAGCUCAGCAUAAAAUAAAUGUGAAGUUUGUCUACAGGCAGUGUUCAAUUUGACAUAUAUGACGAAUUGCAUUUCUAAUAAAUGAUUAAUCAAUGGAUAUUUGCUUUGCUUUAAAGGUCCAGUAUGUAGGAUUUA